rnacentral:rRNA from 1 species
GACGGAGGAUGCAAGCGUUAUCCGGAAUUAUUGGGCGUAGAGCGUCCGCAGGUGGCUGUUCAAGUCUGCUGUCAAAGCGCAGAGCUUAACUCUGUACAGGCGGUGGAAACUGAAGAGCUAGAGUAUGGUAGGGGUAGAGGGAAUUCCCGGUGUAGCGGUGAAAUGCGUAGAUAUCGGGAAGAACACCAAUUGCGAAGGCAGCGCGCUACACGAAUAUUGACUCUGAGGCACGAAAGCGUGGGGAUCAAACAGG